UCGAAGUCUCUGGUGCAUGUUGUUUACUGUUGUGUACUAUUAUGUUGUCAGGCUGUUUGUGUUGUUUUGACCAUUAUUAUAUGUUUCAUAGACGUUUUUAGUUACACUUUUUUUUGGCAUGAGUUGUCAGUAGAGGUCCGCUCUGUGACGUGCAUUCACACCGCACAGUUUGUGUAAACACUGUUUUUGUUUGCAUGUUUAGGAGCAGAUAAGGAAAGGUGACCAGAAGGUGAUUAAUGCAUUUUAAUCUCUUCUGCAGAAAAUAAAUGCUGGAAAACACUCAACCAAGUUGUCUUCCUUGAUGCACUAACCACAUGGACACGCAUAACCCCCGUUUGAGAGGAAAAUCAAAGCCAAAAUCUAAACUUGACUUAAACACUGUAGCAAUACAUGUUUAAACAGUUUAAUUUUUCAAACACUUCAUGAUCAACAGAUGAUGAAACAGAACAAAAAGAUCUUUUCAACAUAGACACCAUUCACUGAGAAGUCAAGACACAAAGAAACAUCCAAUCAGAACAUCAGGACACAAGACCUGUCCAAUCACAGCUCACUAUGCUGACAGGUGAGGAGCAGGACUUACGUCACAUCAACAGCAUCCUGUUAACAGAUAUGUUCAUUUAAAAGACACAUCGGACCUGACGGUGAAUCAGGUGACUGGGUUUACACUGAACAGAUACACGUGUGUGUGUGUUCAAGGGGGCAAAACAUUAUGAAUCUGCAACAGCUGUGAUCUGCUGAGAAGCUGAGUCUACUGAAGUAUCAGGUACCACGACAUCUGUAGAAGAUCUGGACUCUACUGCAGCCAACAAUGACCUGGUGCACUUUAAGUCUGGUUACUGGUCUGUCCCCCUUCAGCACUGCUGGCUAGGUCAACAAUAUAAGGUUUCUGAGAGUCCAGAACCCAACUGGACUGACCAUCUGGUCUCUGACUAAUACAUCCAGACAUGCUGCUACCUGAUAACAAGCUGAACAUUACUGAAGUCAGUCUAAAUAGUCACGGUGUCGUGGCUCAUUAUCAUGCCAUUAUUCUUAGUUAUAUUCCUGUCUUAAUUGUGUUGACUUCCCCUGAUCUGUUUCAUGAUGCCCCUGCAGGUAUUGGUUUUAAUUGGAUUUAACCUAUUUCACUUUUUAUAAUUUCUCAUGUGCAUUAGUCUCAAACUAUAAAGCACUAACUUGUAGGGAAGGCGCUGUACUAAGUGUGAUUGAUUAGCCUGGUCACUCCAUAGAGAUUGUCACAACAGAUACCUGUUUUGCACUGAUUUUUGUUUGAGUCCAGUUCAGUCCUGUUUUUCUUGAUUCAGUUCUUCAAAUAUCACAGUAAGACUCAGCCUAGCUUUGACCCAGUUCAGCAGGCCCAGAUAGCUUCGGCUCACCACAGAAAAUACACCGAUGGUGCUGGUCUGUGUCCUUUCCUGAAAAUCCAUAAAACACACAAACACAAAGUCCAGAAACAGUAGAACCACUGAGAUGCAAGGAUCCCAGUCUGGUGAUUCCAGUCCCAGUCUGGUUUCUGUAACAGCCAGGACAGUCUGAAACCAGGUUUCAUCAAUGAAAUCCAGUGUAUGAUCAGCUCAGUAUGGUGGGAGAGAACGCUGUAAAAGGUUUACUAAAUGUUCCUUAAGGUUUUGGAAUUUCCUGGAUGAGUUCUGCAGGGUUUCUAGAUGGCUCUGUACAGUUCAGUUCUCACAACAGAACUGUUCUCAUCUCAUCUUCCUAAGCCUGGUUCUGUUCUCUUUGUCUCUUUUCUUUAAGGAUGUGAUGUAAUGGGUGAACAGAAGUUCCUGUUCCUUCUUCCUGUUAAGGGCAUUGAAACGCUGGUCGCCACAGUAACGAGCACAGAACUCCUUAAAAGUUGAUCUGCAGAGAAAAAUCAACACAAACAUGAAUAUUAGGGUUUUGUCCUGAGUACCGAGGGUUUAAGCAUCAUGCAGAUGAUUGAACACUCUGAAGUCAGUUUAUUUCUGAUUAUGGAUUUGUUGAAGACAAAUCAUCAGUAUUAAUGCCAACUGUAAAUAAAACAGGAGCCACAUGCACAAAACUAUAAUGACAAAAAUGAUAUUCUUCUGUCUUCAGGUUCUGUUGCACAGAAUAAAAAUAAAUGAUUAAA